CUGAAAUGGGCCAUGCUAUAGAAGGUGGGACGGUGCAGUACCUGAAGUGGGCCAUUCUGUAGAUGGUGGUACAGUACUUGAAGUGGGCCAUUCUAUAGAAGGUGAUACAGUACCUGAAAUGGGCCAUGCUAUAGAAGGUGGUACAGUACCUGAAAUGGGCCAUGCUAUAGAAGGCAGUAUAGUACCUGAAAUGGGCCAUGCUAUAGAAGGUGGUACAGUACUUGAAGUGGACCAUGCUAUAUAAGGUGGGACAGUACCUGAAGUGGGCCAUUCUGUAGAUGGUGGUACAGUACUUGAAGUGGGCCAUUCUAUAGAAGGUGAUACAGUACCUGAAAUGGGCCAUGCUAUAGAAGGUGGUACAGUACCUGAAAUGGGCCUUGCUAUAGAAGGUGGUACAGUACCUGAAAUGGGCCAUGCUAUAGAAGGUGGUACAGUACCUGAAAUGGGCCUUGCUAUAGAAGGUGGUACAGUACCUGAAAUGGGCCAUUCUAUAGAAGGUGGUACAGUACCUGAAAUGGGCCAUGCUAUAGAAGGUGGUACAUUACCUGAAGUGGGCCAUACUAUAGAAGGUGGUACAGUACUUGAAGUGGGCCAUGCUAUAGAAGGUGGUACAUUACCUGAAGUGGGCCAUACUAUAGAAGGUGGUACAGUACUUGAAGUGGGCCAUGCUAUACAAGGUGGUACAGUACCUGAAGUGGGCCAUGCUAUAGAAGGUGGGACAGUACCUGAAGUGGACCAUGCUAUAGAAGGUGGUACAGUACCUGAAGUGGGCCAUACUAUAGAAGGUGGGACAGUACCUGAAGUGGGCCAUACUAUAGAAGGUGGGACAGUACAGUACCUGAGGUGGGCAAUGCUAUAGAAGAAGGUGGGACAGUACCUGAAGUGGACCAUGCUAUAGAAGGUGGGACAGUACCUGAAGUGGGCCAUGCUAUAGAAGGUGGGACGGUGCAAUACCUGAAGUGGGCCAUUCUGUAGAAGGUGGUACAGCACUUGAAGUGGGCCAUUCUAUAGAAGGUGGUACAGUACCUGAAAUGGUCCACGCUAUAGAAGGUGGUACAGUACCUGAAAUGUGCCAUACUAUAGAAGCUGGUACAGUACCUGAAAUGGGCCUUGCUAUAGAAGGUGGUACAGUACCUGAAAUGGGCCAUGCUAUAGAAGGCAGUAUAGUACCUGAAAUGGGCCAUGCUAUAGAAGGUGGUACAGUACUUGAAGUGGACCAUGCUAUAUAAGGUGGGACAGUACCUGAAGUGGGCCAUUCUGUAGAUGGUGGUACAGUACUUGAAGUGGGCCAUUCUAUAGAAGGUGAUACAGUACCUGAAAUGGGCCAUGCUAUAGAAGGUGGGACGGUGCAGUACCUGAAGUGGGCCAUUCUGUAGAUGGUGGUACAGUACUUGAAGUGGGCCAUUCUAUAGAAGGUGAUACAGUACCUGAAAUGGGCCAUGCUAUAGAAGGUGGUACAGUACCUGAAAUGGGCCAUGCUAUAGAAGGCGGUACAGUACCUGAAAUGGGCCAUGCUAUAGAAGGUGGGACGGUGCAGUACCUGAAGUGGGCAAUGCUAUAGAAGAAGGUGGGACAGUACCUGAAGUGGACCAUGCUAUAGAAGGUGGGACAGUACCUGAAGUGGACCAUGCUAUAGAAGGUGGGACGGUGCAGUACCUGAAGUGGGCCAUUCUGUAGAUGGUGGUACAGUACUUGAAAUGGGCCAUGCUAUAGAAGGCGGUACAGUACCUGAAAUGGGCCAUGCUAUAGAAAGUGGUACAGUACCUGAAGUGGGCAAUGCUAUAGAAGGAGGGACAGUACAGUACCUGAAGUGGGCAAUGCUAUUGAAGGUGGGACAGUACCUGAAGUGGGCCAUGCUAUAGAAGGUGGGACAGUACCUGAAGUGGGCCAUACUAUAGAAGGUGGGACAGUACCUGAAUUGGGCCAUUCUAUAGAACGUGGGACGGUACCUGAAGUGGGCCAUGCUGUGGAAGCUCACAGACACACCUUCAAUUCAUCAGUUGGCCCCUGUAACAUUUCACAACCAGCACCUAAGCUACUAACUUGAUCAUACACAGGAAUCUGACAAAACAUUGAGGUCACACUCAACUUCUUUUUGUCUGAUUCUGACCUGUUCAAUUACCUGCUACAGUAACACAUUCACUUGUACGAUGUCAUUCUCACCUGUUAGCCAUGUGACUAAGAAGGAGUACGUGUGUGUCUUACCUGUAUGAUGCUGUGUGCGUACUGCUCAGCUCUCUCCCAGCUGUACUCCUCUGUCUGAGGGGCUCCAGCCAGCUCAGGCCUCCGUUCCACACAGGUAGUAUUCUGGGUACAGGUGGUGGGUAGUGCCCAGGGAGAGCUCUGCCGGCACCAGGGUGUCCAGGUACCAGUACAUCUCUCUCUCUCUCUCUCUCUCUCUCUCUCUCUCUCUCUCUCUCUCUCUCU